CAUGCUGUGUGCCCCCUGCUCAGGACUUGUGCUCUUGUUGAUACUGAGAGGGACCAAUGGAGACUCAGUGACCCAGACAGAAGGCCCUGUUAUCCUGCCCGAGGGGGCCCCGCUGACCCUGAACUGCACCUACCAGAGCAGCUAUUCUGUUUUCCUUUUCUGGUAUGUCCAGUAUCAAAACAAAGAGCCUGAGCUCCUCCUGAAAAGCUCAUCAGAAAACCAGGAGGAGGACAGCAGAGGUUUUCAGGCCAAGCUUGUUACGAGUGACAGCUCCUUCCACCUGCAGAAAGCCUCAGUGCAAGUGUCAGACUCGGCCGUGUACUACUGCGCUCUGAGACACACAGUGAGGGGGACUAUAGGGGGAGCUGAACACAAACACAGAGGGUGCAGGUGGGCCUGGCUGUGGCAGCCCUGGGAGGGGUGUUACCUUCUCUCCAGUGUUCUGCGCUGGAGGCUUCCUCAAAGUGCUUCCAGCUCUGAUGCCUCAGAGCCAAGGAGCCUUGGAAUUCUUGGAUGA